CCUGUCAUGGAUGGGGAGGGGCUUGGGAUAAGGGGCUGGGGUGAGACAGGCCAGGUGACUGCGGGUGGGACAGUGGGGGAGGGGGAGGAGGAGAAGGAGGAAGAGGAGGAGGGGUCAACUGAAGGACUGGGCUGCUCAGCUUCCUUGUUUCAGUCGCGCUGCUUUCAGCCAGCCCGCUCGACCGCAUACUUCUCCAUUUCCUCCUUCUCUCCUUCCUUUAAGUUCACUUCAGACUUGCUGCAGGUCCAACUCUGAACGACUCUGACAUCUUGGUCCUUCAAGCUGGAUGCCAAUAGACCGGAAACUCAUUGGCCCGUGCGGAGAACGCCCGUGGAAGUCCGUGGCCGCGGUGUGGGAACCAGUUCCUGCAGACCCUUUUCCGGGGGAUGGGUCUCCUCCCUAACGGGUCGACGCUUACUGGGGUGAAGGAAUUCAAAUUCAGCGGCAAAGUCUGAUCACGGGUCUGGUCACAUCAUCCACCAUGAGGAAGAAAUCAGACUUCUGAUCUGCUUGUGCAAUUGUCUGAUUCCUGGCUGACCAGGAGCACUUGACUUUAUUGAUGUGAUCAGCUGAGACACUGCCAUCUAGAGAAGCCCCAAGGAGACCACUGGAGGCAAGAUACAACCCUCUCUCCUGUACUUGAAGUCCUGUGACUGUGCUGUACUCUUGGAUGGCGGUUUGCUCAUGGUUCAGGUCCCAGGCUAUGGCCUGGAAGAAGAAAAAGUCAACUGAUUGGUGGCAUGGCUGUUACACAAAGGUUUCACUGUUUUGUUGAUUUUAUAUUCACACCAGAGAAAUUAAGUGCAUAUAUUUUCCUUUAUAAAUAGCCAGCCCACCUGGACAUAAUUUGAGGGCUGUAUCAUAAAUGUAAUAUCAUUUAAAAAUUUAAUUAUAAUUUAAAAAUCUAAAAUGAAAAUUCACCAAAUCACCUGAUGUCAAAAGAAAAUAUUGCAAUAGCAAAUUAACAAUUUUUGGUACAAAUGGUUCAACUAAUUGUACAAAUAUUAUUAAAGAUCUACCUUGACACCAUCAGAUAUGCUGUACUCAUCUUGAGGGUCUUGAACAAGGAAGGGAGAUAGGAGAUCCUCCAGAUGGCAGCCAGCACUAGACCGAAGUUGCUUGC